CUUGGGUACUCGAGUGGCGAACGGGUGAGUAACACGUGGGUGAUCUGCCCUGCACUUCGGGAUAAGCCUGGGAAACUGGGUCUAAUACCGGAUAGGACCACAUUUUGGAUGGUGUGGUGGAAAGUUUUUCGGUGUGGGAUGAGCUCGCGGCCUAUCAGCUUGUUGGUGGGGUAAUGGCCUACCAAGGCGUCGACGGGUAGCCGGCCUGAGAGGGUGACCGGCCACACUGGGACUGAGACACGGCCCAG
rnacentral:rRNA from 1 species